CUUAUUAUGUUUAUUUUAACAUUAAUUUAUAUGUAAAUUUAUGUGAAUUGUUUUAUUCUCUUAAUGGGGAAUUAAUUGAUUAUAAUUACAGUAAAUGAAUUUAUUGAUAUUAAGUUAUUUUAGAUUUGGUAAAUGUUAAAAUGUUUAGUAAAGGCUGUGCCAGCAUCUGCGGUUAAACAGCGAAAUUAAGUAAACAUUAUUGGCUUUAAAGUAAUUAGUAUAAAUUAUUUAUAAGGAUGGGGAUACUUUAAGGUGAAAUGUUAAAGUAUCUUAAAUUUUAUAUAUUUGAAGUAUGAUUAAUUAUGAAGUUGAAAAUAUAAACUAGGAUUAGAUACCCUACUAUUUUUAUGGUAAAAUUGUAAGCUGGAGUAUUAGUAGCUAUAAUCUUAAAACUUAAAGAAUUUGGCGGUAUUAUAAUCUAUUUAGAGGAAUCUGUUAAGUAAUCGAUAGUCCACGUUGAACCUUACUUAUAUUAUUUCUUGUAUAUCGCUGUUUAAGAAAAUACUUUUAGGUAAAUUUUCUAAAUAUUUAAGGGAUAAUAUUUCAAGUCAAGGUGCAGUAAUAUAUAAGUUGAUUAAUGGAUUACAAUAAAAUGUAUUUAUAUGGAUUAUAAUUGUAAAAUAAUUUGAAGGUGGAUUUAAUUGUAAUUAUAAAAAGAUUAUUAUAAUGAUGUAAGGCUCUAUAAUGUGUACACAUCGCCCGUCACUCUCAUUAAUAAGAUGAGAUAAGUCGUAACAAAGUAGGUGUACUGGAAAGUGUACCUAGAAAGAAUUCUUAUUUAAAUUGUUAA
rnacentral:rRNA from 1 species